rnacentral:rRNA from 1 species
AUUGAACGCUGGCGGCAGGCCUAACACAUGCAAGUCGAACGGUAACAGGAAGAAGCUUGCUUCUUUGCUGACGAGUGGCGGACGGGUGAGUAAUGUCUGGGAAACUGCCUGAUGGAGGGGGAUAACUACUGGAAACGGUAGCUAAUACCGCAUAACGUCGCAAGACCAAAGAGGGGGACCUUCGGGCCUCUUGCCAUCGUAUGUGCCCAGAUGGGAUUAGCUAGUAGGUGGGGUAACGGCUCACCUAGGCGACGAUCCCUAGCUGGUCUGAGAGGAUGACCAGCCACACUGGAACUGAGACACGGACCAGACUCCUACGGGAGGCAGCAGUGGGGAAUAUUGCACAAGGGGCGAAAGCAUGAUGCAGCAAUGCCGCGUGUAUGAAGAAGGACUUCGGGUUGUAAAGUACUUUCAGCGGGGAGGAAGGGAGUAAAGUUAAUACCUUUGCUCAUUGACGUUACCCGCAGAAGAAGCACCGGCUAACUCCGUG